rnacentral:rRNA from 1 species
AUUGAACGCUGGCGGCAGGCCUAACACAUGCAAGUCGAGCGGAUGAGAGGAGCUUGCUCCUUGAUUUAGCGGCGGACGGGUGAGUAAUGCCUAGGAAUCUGCCUAGUGGUGGGGGAUAACGUUCCGAAAGGAACGCUAAUACCGCAUACGUCCUACGGGAGAAAGCGGGGGAUCUUCGGACCUCGCGCCAUUAGAUGAGCCUAGGUCGGAUUAGCUAGUUGGUGAGGUAAAGGCUCACAAAGGCGACGAUCCGGAACUGGUCUGAGAGGAUGAUCAGUCACACUGGAACUGAGACACGGUCCAGACUCCUACGGGAGGCAGCAGUGGGGAAUAUUGGACAAUGGGCGAAAGCCUGAUCCAGCCAUGCCGCGUGUGUGAAGAAGGUCUUCGGAUUGUAAAGCACUUUAAGUUGGGAGGAAGGGUAUUCACCUAAUACGUGAGUAUUUUGACGUUACCGACAGAAUAAGCACCGGCUAACUUCGUGCCAGCCGCCGCCGUAACAC